rnacentral:rRNA from 1 species
CCUACGGGUGGCAGCAGUGGGGGAUAUUGGACAAUGGGGGGAACCCUGAUCCAGCGACGCCGCGUGAGUGAAGAAGUAUUUCGGUAUGUAAAGCUCUGUCAGCAGGGAAGAAAGCAAUGACGGUACCUGACCAAGAAGCCCCGGCUAACUACGUGCCAGCAGCCGCGGUAAUACGUAGGGGGCAAGCGUUAUCCGGAAUUACUGGGUGUAAGGGGAGCGUAGACGGCUGUGCAAGUCUGGAGUGAAAGGCGGGGGCCCAACCCCCGGACUGCUCUGGAAACUGGAUGGCUGGAGUGCAGGGGAGGUAAGCGGAAUUCGUAGUGUAGCGGUGAAAUGCGUAGAUAUUAGGAGGAACACCAGUGGCGAAGGCGGCUUACUGGACUGUAACUGACGUUGAGGCUCGAAAGCGUGGGGAGCAAACAGGAUUAGAUACCCGUGUAGUC